ACGAGACGUUGCCCCCCGGGGUAUACCUCCCACCCUUUGUUUACCAUACCUAUGUUGCUUUGGCAGGCCCGUCCCCGGACCGCCGGCUCCGGCCGGUCCGUGCCUGCCAGGGGACCCAAACUCUGUCUGUCUAUGCCGUCUGAGUACUAUAUAAUAGUUA
rnacentral:misc_RNA from 1 species